ensembl:lincRNA
GUACAGGGAACUCAGCAGUCCAAGAGGAUGUUGGGAUCCCAGGAAGCGGGGUGUGUUCUUCCCGCAGGAAUUGCUGGUCAGAGGUGCCAGGCCUGCAAUGCUCAUGGUCCAUAGGGCAGGAUGUCUUGGCAGUCCCACUGCCACACUGAAGGCCUGGGAGAUCCUGGAGGCAGCUGCGGCUUUUCAGUCUUUUGGAGUCACAAAAGAAACAGUUCUAAUUUCAGCCAAGGGAUGCAGCAGUGACAGAGUAGAGGACUCGUCAGCAAGAUCAAGGGUGAGCCAACAAAACGGAGCUGUCCCGGAGGGUGCUGCCACCACAGGAGGAUGGGCCUUCCUGCUUCAGAGAAUCUGAUCAAGAAAGCCCCUCUCAGCACUGCACAGCAGCUGGAACUCGAGUUGAUAACAGCUCGUCAAGGUGACAGGCAAGGGGAGGCAUCACAGGACCCGUCACUUGUCAUUUGGGACAGGGUCUCUCACUGGCCUGGGCUCAGCGAUGAGGCUCUGGCUGGCCAGCGAGCUCCAGGGCUCUGCUGUUUCUGCCUUGGUGGCAGGUGGAUUACAAGUAUGACCCGCUGGACCUGGAUUCUUUCACUUGAGUUCUAGGGAGCCAACUCGGCCUGAUUCUCGAAUGGCAAGCGCCGUGCCGACUGUGUUACCUCCCACUGACUAACGUGGGGACUGUUUUAGGAAGAUAAUGAUAACACACUGGACCUGGUGGUACACACCUUCAGACUCAGAACUCAGGGCAGCAGACAAGGGCCAAGCUCUGAGUUCGAGGCCAGCCCAGUCUACAUGGCAAGGUCCAGGACAGCCAGGGCUAUGCAGCAAGACAUUUAUUGAGGGGUUGGGGGAGAAGGACAGAGAGAGACAGAGACAGAGAAAGAGACAGACAGAGAGACAGAAACAGACACAGAGAGAAUAACAGGUGUGACACACACCUGUAAGCCUAGCACUCGCAGGCAGAAACAGUAGGAUCAAGAAUUGAGCCUGGGCUACACAGAAAAGAACUUGUCUCAAAAACAAACAAACAAAAAAUAGAAACUGAUUCUAUUUAAUAAUAUAUCAAUGUCACAAAUGAAUGUUUCUGUAAAGAACAUGACAAACAGAAGCACCACUAAGAGAGAGUAGCCUCCUUGUGUGAACAGACUAUGUAUGUGGUGUAAAUGGGAUGGGGCUUUUAUUUGGCUCCUUUGGUAUACUCUGUAACUCUAAGCUGCCGCAUUAAGCUCUGCUCAGUUUGAUGGAAAUGACUGGGUUUUUUUUUCCUCCCUUGCAUGCAAAACCAAAAACAAACCCAACAAACCAACCAAUCCCAGAAGGCACCAAGCAGCGAGGACCAGUCUACCUCAAUGCCAGGGGCCACAGGGUGUGAGACACCUAGGGCAGAGCAGGGGCUGAGACUGAGGGGCCUCACAUCUGCCUUCCUGGUCCCUGUGCCUCUCCCUGUCCAGCUGGAGGCGUGUCACCCAAGGGAAGAACCUGGAGCAAAGUCAACACCCGGACUGCAGAGUUCUGGUUAUCUCCAUUUCCCCCACCCCACCCCACCCCCGGUGCAGAGGGGAAACAAAACAUAGCUU